AAUACCUGAAUUCAGAGGCCCUUCUGACCUGUGACCACACGGGGUGGCCAAGUCCUCUCUGUUGAAUCGGUUUGUCACCAACUACUUCAGCAGUCAGUAAGGGGCAACCAUUGGUGCUGACUUCUUUACCCAAGUGAUGCAGCCAAAGGCCAGACAGUAACUGUGCAGGUCUCUGAACUCUCCAGUCCCGCUCGGCCGGGAAGAAGACAGGCGGAGCCCUACUCUCAUUGGCUCACUGCUCCUUCCAGCCUGCCUCUGCUUCCUCCCCACAGCAAGUCUUUCCUGCCCGAACCCGGAACAACAGAGGGGGCUAAAAGCUUCUAGAACUGCCUGCUCAUGCUUCAGUCAAGCCAUUUUCCCCUGACACAAUGGAGAUAUUCUACAUCAAAAUUCAAAGAGCUUCAAAUAGAUCUGCC